GCUCCAAAAAAUAAAGGAUAAAGGAAAUUCAUACCGGAGAAGGACCACUGUUCUGCCCUGAUCUGUGACCACUGUCCUGUCUGACGAUAACUAUCUGUUCUGUAACUACUGCCAUGUGUGAACAGAGUGUAGACAGCCUGACAUGUGUGAACACACUGAUUACAACCUGCUUUGUGUGAUCAUAAUGAACAAACCUGCCAUGUUGCCAUACUGAUGACUAUCUGAAAUGUGUGAUCACACUGAUGACAAACUGCCAUGUGUGCCACACUGAUGACACACUGCUAUUUGCCACACUGUUAACACCCUGCCAUGUGUGAAUAGUUUGAGGACAAUCUGACAUGUAUGCAUGAACUGAUGACAGCAUUCUAUGUGUGGCACACUGAUGAACACCUGCCAUGUGUGCCACACUGAUGACAAUGGGCCAUGUGUAAAUACAUUGUUGACAACCUGUCAUGUGUGAACUCACUGAUGAUACCCUAUCAUGUGUGAACACAAUGAUGACAACCUCACAUGUGUGCCACACUAAGGACAAUGGGCCAUGUGUGAUUACCCUGAUUACAAACCAUCAUGUUUUCCACACUGAUGGCAGCAUGCCAUGAAUGAAUACUCUGAUAACAGCCAUUUUUGAACACACUGUUGAUAACCUUCCAUGUGUGAACACACUGAUAUCAACCUGCCAUGUAAGAUAGCACUGUUGACAACCUGCCAUGCAUGAUAUCACUUAUGAGAACCUGGAAUGUGUGAUCACACUGAUGACAACCUGCCCUGUGAGCCACACUGAAGACAACCUGAGGGAGAGGGUGAAUUUGCUGAUGACAAACUACCACUGAUGACAUCUUGCAUGG